rfam:Capsicum annuum cultivar Zunla-1 chromosome 1, whole genome shotgun sequence
UUGAGCCGUAUGCGGGGGAACUCGCACGUGCGGUUCUUAGGGGGGGAAGAGCUAGUAGGAGCCAUCCCAUCCGGGAU